UACGUAGGGUGCAAGCGUUAAUCGGAAUUACUGGGCGUAAAGCGUGCGCAGGCGGUUUUGUAAGUCAGAUGUGAAAUCCCCGGGCUUAACCUGGGAACUGCGUUUGAAACUACAAGGCUAGAGUGUGGCAGAGGGGGGUGGAAUUCCACGUGUAGCAGUGAAAUGCGUAGAGAUGUGGAGGAAUACCGAUGGCGAAGGCAGCCUCCUGGGCCAACACUGACGCUCAUGCACGAAAGCGUGGGGAGCAAACAGG
rnacentral:rRNA from 1 species